GCCACAACGUGUAUUUUUCUAGUGUUCGCUCCUCGUUUGUUCGUCCGUUCAUUGGUUCGUUCGGUUUCGUGUCUAAUGGUUGGUGUCCGCCGUUUUUUUGUUUUUGGUUUGUCAUUUGUUUGUUUGUUGUGAGGCAAAGAAUUUAAAUUCUACCAACAAAAGAACUUCCUUUUGCUAACUAACCACACCAAAAAAACGACGCUGCCAAAAGGAAAUUAAGACGAACGUCGUCCAGUGUGUUAGUCAGUUAGUUUGUGAGUGAGUGAGUGCGUACGUGCUAAUUAACGUGGCCGGCAACUAAAUAAAAGAAAAAUAGAAAGAAAAAAAAUAAAACGACAAAGGAAACGAAAGCAAAAAAAAAACAACCAAAUAUGUAAAUAAAACAAACCAACAACAAACAUUCGUAAAAUAACAAAAUUAAGUGCCGUUUUUUGUGUUCUCAGUUUUGUUUUUGUUGUAAAUUUGUUAAGUUUUUUCUCCGUUGUGUCCCCCUCGGGUUCUGUGUUAAUUCCUUUAAAGAAACCAAUUUCGCGUCAAUAAUUCGUUUAAUGAUUGAUCAUCUUCGGUUUUGUUUCUAAUUGCUCGUUUGAUUUUUUUUCUUCGUGAGAGCGGGAGCAGAGGCAAGAGAUCAAAAAGUAAUCAGGUGGUGUUUCUUUCGAUGUUGAAGCCAGCCGCCUGCCUUUCAAUUGUUGUUAUCCUCUAACGAAUUUCUUCCCCACCCACUUUUCCGGUUUAAAAUUUCGACUCUUGGAAGAAAACGCAGUGUUUAAUUUUUUUCAAGCAACGAAAACUAAAACGAAACUCAGAGAAAGAGAGAAGAAAAUUCAUUAACAAAAAAAGAACGAAGGAAUUUGAAUAGAAAACGAAAGAACCUUCUUACAACUACAACAGCAACAACAACAACAACGAACAACAUCUGAAGCGAAAAAACAACAACAAAGAAACAACAAUACGUUCUUAGAUAAUCAAAAAAGGCACGUCCAGCCAGCCAGCCAGACCUAUUGAACCAAUUCAAAUCCCGAAAAUAAAUAAAAUAACCUUCCGUGGAAAACUCACCCCCCCUCCAACUGCGACGUCUACAAAAGCAACAACAACAACUUAAACAAGCACCAUUGUGUCAAGAGGCUUUUCCUCAAGUAAUCCCCCGAUAUCAACUUACAAUCCAUAUCCCUCGCCACGCGUACACACACACACAACAGCAGCAGGACAACUUGUCUUGCCGGAGGCGACAAAGAAAGUGACUGCUUCUUUGGAAUUUUGAUGCCCUCAGAUUUUUAAAAUCGUUUUAACAACAAAUCCCGUUUUUAUGUUGAUACUCAAACCCAUGCACCACAGAUGAAAUUAACGUCCCGUAUUUGUCAUUGUCCCUGCAGCGCCGAGCCCAUGAGCAAAAGAAGAAACAUAAUGCUCCCUAAGAUGCCAUCGAAGUCCUUUAAAACUAUUUGUUUACUAUUGUUUGUGGCACUGCUAUCAUCAAGCCUAGUGACACCCGUAACGGCCCAAUGUCCUUGGCACCGGGAUUUACCCGAUCUGCAGACAUCCUGCAUUUGCUCAUAUAAUUUGGGUCGUGAACUCUCUGUACAGUGUGAUCAGGUUCACUUCCCCACUCUAUUGGAGGCCUUAAACAAAUAUGUCAAACAGAAACCCAUCGAUUUGCUGUACAUCAACAACUCGACAGUGGGCGAUCUGACAGAUGACAUCUUUGCCAAUUUGAGUCUACACAAUGUCCAGUUGUCCUCGUGUAAGAUAUCCCAAAUUAGUGAUGGUGCUUUCCAUGGACAAGAGGAGGUUUUGAAGAAUCUCAAUCUGCAGGACAAUCUACUCGAAGAAGUGCCCACAACGGCUUUGAGAAUAUUGAAAAUAUUAAACCUCUUAGAUUUAUCCAAGAAUCGUAUAACCAACAUACCCGACGAUGCCUUUAAGGGUUCCUUGCGUUUGUCCACCUUAAAGCUAAAUGACAAUAAUGUCACCCUGGCAGUGGGUGCUUUUCGGGGCCUGGAGAAUAGUUUGAAAAACUUAAAUUUGAAGGGUACCAAACAGCGACGUGUUCCCGAGAGCAUACGAGGUCUGAAAAGUUUGGCAUUCUUAGACUUGUCGUUGAAUGGCAUAAAGGAGUUACCCGGGCCGGGUGGUAUACGCACCUUUGAUGGUUUGGAUUCAUUAACUGCCCUGAAUUUAGAACGAAAUCUUAUUCAAAGUCUGGGAGAAUCAUCAUUUGUGGGCGUCCGCAAAACCCUGAGUUCGUUGAGUUUGUUGAACAAUCUCUUGGCCGAUUUCCCUGUUGGAGCCAUUCAUGCCUUAAAGGAGUUAAGGGUUUUGGAUAUUGGUUUUAACCUCUUGACCAGCCUGCCGGAAACAGCCUUCCGUGGCAAUCCCAGCAUAACCCUGCUGGCCUUGGAUGGCAACCCCCUGGCUACAGUACCUGAAACAGCAUUUCUACACCUGAAUGCCACGCUGCGCGGUUUGUCGUUGGGUGGACGUUUCUUGCACUGUGAUUGCCAUUUGAAAUGGGUGGCCGAGUGGAUACGCAAGGGUGACUUACAGGUAACAUCUCGCGAACGCAAUCCCCAGUUCUGUGGCAGUCCCCCUCACUUCCGUGAUCGUGGCUUCUAUUCCAUACAACCGGAUGAGCUGACCUGCAGCGAAACCGAACCGGAAUUGGUCUUGGAUGACAUUUUGCCAACUGGACAGAAACCCACCGUACCAAGCAAAACCGUGCCUUCUGGUCCCACAAAUGGAGAUGCCUUGGGCAGUAGCCUUCCCACGGCUUCCUCAGUGCCCACCACGGCGGCCACAUUGCCAAGCAGCACUUCAAGUAGCAGUGUUGCACCCACCAUCGCAUCCACCAGCACCACUACAACAACAACCACCACCGUUAAAACGACAAAAGCCACAACCGUAUCCACGCCGGCCGCCCAUUCAUCGGACGAGACGCCCGGCAAUUCGUCUCAACAAGAACAACAACAGCCAGCCAUCCAGCCAACACAUCAAUCAACAUCCGGCAUUGGUUCCGCCUCGCCAACCACCAUUACUCAAUCACAGCAGAGUAAUGGCAAUGCCAAACAAUCACCCUCUUGGCGCCAAAAUUCAAGCGGCGGCAGCAGCAGUAGUUCCGGUGGCCCAGCACACAAACAACAACGUCCACCGCUGGUUUUGGGCUUCCCCCCCCAGCGUGGCACUCGCAUCGAUGACUCCAAUGAGGUUCAAGUGAAAAAUGCCUUCCGUCAGGAUAGUUCGGUUAUCAUUCAAUGGGAUUCCGAUACGGCGAAUAUCUUAGGUUUUCGUGUUGUCUAUCGGCUCUUCGGUGAGAAAUCAUUCAAACAGGGUCCGCCGUUGGAGGCCAGCGAGCGGGAGUUUAAAAUCAAAAAUGUCCCAGCCCAGGAGUGCAUCAUUGUGUGUGUCAUCUCGUUGGAAGAGUUGCAUGUCACACCCGAAACUGUGCCGUAUCAACAGUGUCGGGAGGUGAGGACGGUGGCAUCGCAAACAUCGAAUAUGGAUAAGAUAACGAUAGCCGCAAGUGCGGCCAUCUGUGGAACGAUAAUAGUGGCUGUGAUUGUUUUUAUAGCGGCUAGCAGACGCUCUCGCAAAAUGCAAACCUCACAACAAAAGAGUCCACUGCCAAUUGGAGGUUUGCCCGUAAAUUGUUGUGGUCCAGCCGGUUCACCGGGACCACUUGGCUCAAUCGCAACGCUUUCGGCAUUCAAUAAUCACAAGGAAUGGGAUCAAGUAUCUGCCUACAGUGGCCGCUCUAUACCACGACCACGUGCCUAUCCCAUGGACGCUCAAGAUGAUAUGCGUAGCCAUUUUUCAGGAAUGCCGGGAAAGCUGGCGAAACCCAGAUCCAUUGCUGAUGGCCAAUCGCAGCAUAGCUUUUCAAAUAAUUCACAUCGCGGCUAUUUGGGCACCGCAUUCCCAUCGAAUUUAGUCAAUUCCCGACCUGAAUUGCGGCAAUCACGUCAGUCCCUCGCUGCCCCCUCGGAGAGAAUGUCACGUGCCUCCUAUGCCGGUUCGAUACAUGGCGGUGGUGGCGGAGGCGGUGUCGGUGUCGGGGGUGGUGGUCCCACCAGUGUGGCGUCUAGUACACGCCGUUCACGGCCGCGUUCUAGAUCACGCGAUCAAUUGAAUGCCACGCAUAUACAUAAUCAUCGACCUGGAAGUCGAUAUGGCUACUAAUGGAAUUACCACAAAUUGUUAAUGUUUUCUAUUAAAUAUUCUACGAGAAAUUGCACGUUGAUUGACUCCUCCAUAAGUUAUUAGAUUUUUUUCCUGCAAACAAAUGAGAAAACAUGCCAAAAAAACACCCACACAUAUACCAAAACUAGUUUGUAUACUCCACCGCCGGCUCAACCCACACCCUCAACAAUUAUUGCGACACAUCGGAUAAUUGGACCGAUCACGAUAUGGACAUCUAUAUGGCUAGAAAUCCAACGACACGCAAUGGUCUGGUGCCAUUAUGAGGGCGGGUUAU